rfam:Caloramator quimbayensis strain TSBA 833 genome assembly, contig: Ga0105845_133
UAUCUUGAGAGUUUGAUCCUGGCUCAGGACGAACGCUGGCGGCGUGCUUAACACAUGCAAGUCGAGCGGAGGCAGCACUUAACACUGAGUGCUUAGUGGUGAGAGCUUAAAUUAAGUUAGUCAGCGUCAAGACCGCGUAAGCGGGCUUCACGCUAUAUAAGAAUAACACA